GUCGUGAGAUGUUGGGUUAAGUCCCGCAACGAGCGCAACCCCCGUCCCUAGUUGCCAGCGAGUAAUGUCGGGGACUCUAGGGAGACUGCCGGUGCCAAACCGGAGGAAGGUGGGGACGACGUCAAGUCAUCAUGGUCCUUACGUCUAGGGCUACACACGUGCUACAAUGGACGGGACAGAGGGGUCCGAGCCGGCAACGGUGGGGCAAUCCCCAAACCCGUCCUCAGUUCGGACUGUGGUCUGCAACUCGACCACAUGAAGCUGGAAUCGCUAGUAAUCGUGGAUCAGCUACGCCACGGUGAAUACGUUCCCGGGCCUUGUACACACCGCCCGUCACGCCAUGGGAGCUGUGAGCGCCCGAAGUCGGUGUCGGAACCCGCAAGGGACCAAGCCGCCUAAGGCGAGCGCAGUGACUGGGGCGAAGUCGUAACAAGGUAGCCGUAGGGGAACCUGCGGCUGGAUCACCUCCUUAACGGAGAGAUACGAGUAGACCUACGGUUUCGUAAGUCGAAAGUUCUCAACGAUUUGUCGCUUGCCUCCUCAUCCUUGAUCUCAUCUUCAUUUGUUAUAAAUAUUUGUAGUACGCUCUUGCUCGCCGGACACGUCUGGCGGGCUUGAAGCAACCCGCUGUUUGACAAUGGAAGUGUAGUAGUGAUCGUGGAUAACGAAUCAUCAUACGUGAUGCAAUUUCAAUUUUUAUUGUAUCACUCGUUAGAUCGCGCGUUUCUGCUUGAACAGAAUAUUGGUCAAGCGAUAGAAAGCGAGUGGAGGAUGCCUGGGUACACGGAGGCGAUGAAGGCCGUGGUAAGCUGCGAUAAGCCAAGGGGAGCGGCACACACGCAACGAUCCUUGGAUGG
rnacentral:sRNA from 1 species